rnacentral:rRNA from 1 species
AGAGUUUGAUCCUGGCUCAGGACGAACGCUGGCGGCGUGGAUUAGGCAUGCAAGUCGCGCGACGAACCUUCGGGUUACGGAGCGGCGAACGGGUGAGUAACACGUGAACAAUCUGUCCCUACAUUCCGGAUAAUUGGCCGAAAGGCCUUGUAAUACGGGGGAGGAUGGUGGUGAGGCAUCUCACUAUCAGGGAAGGUGCAACGCAAGUUGUGCCGUGCAGGGAGGGGUUCGCGGCCUAUCAGUUAGUUGGUGGGGUAACGGCCUACCAAGACGACGACGGGUAGCUGGUCUGAGAGGAUGGUCAGCCACAUUGGAACUGAGACACUGUCCAGACUCCUACGGGAGGCUGCAGUCGAGAAUCUUGGGCAAUGCACGAAAGUGUGACCCAGCGACGCCGCGUGGAGGAUGAAGGCCCUUGGGUUGUAAACUCCUUUUAUGGAAGAAGAACGUCCCUUCGGGGACUUGACGGUACUCCAUGAAUAAGCCACGGCUAACUACGUGCCAGCAGCCGCGGUAAUACGUAGGUGGCAAGCGUUGUCCGGAUUUACUGGGCGUAAAGCGUGUGUAGGCGGACCUUUAAGUAGAAAGUGAAAGGUAGGAGCUCAACUCCUACAUUGCUCUCUAUACUGGAGGUCUUGAGUGUCGGAGAGGAAGAUGGAACUGCACGUGUAGCGGUGAAAUGCGUUGAGAUGUGCAGGAACACCAAUGGCGAAGGCAAUCUUCUGGACGAAAACUGACGCUGAGACACGAAAGCCAAGGUAGCAAACAGGAUUAGAUACCCUGGUAGUCC